GACGAACGCUGGCGGCGUGCUUAACACAUGCAAGUCGAACGGAAAGGCCCUGCUUUUGUGGGGGGCUCGAGUGGCGAAAGGGUGAGUAACACGUGAGUAACCUGCCCUUGACUUUGGGAUAACUUCAGGAAACUGGGGCUAAUACCGGAUAGGAGCUCCUGCUGCAUGGUGGGGGGUGGAAAGUUUCGGCGGUUGGGGAUGGACUCGCGGCUUAUCAGCUUGUUGGUGGGGUAGUGGCUUACCAAGGCUUUGACGGGUAGCCGGCCUGAGAGGGUGACCGGCCACAUUGGGACUGAGAUACGGCCCAGACUCCUACGGGAGGCAGCAGUGGGGAAUAUUGCACAAUGGGCGGAAGCCUGAUGCAGCAACGCCGCGUGCGGGAUGACGGCCUUCGGGUUGUAAACCGCUUUCGCCUGUGACGAAGCGUGAGUGACGGUAAUGGGUAAAGAAGCACCGGCUAACUACGUG
rnacentral:rRNA from 1 species